GAUGAACGCUAGCGGCAGGCUUAACACAUGCAAGUCGAGGGGCAGCAUAAUGGAUAGCAAUAUCUAUGGUGGCGACCGGCGCACGGGCGCGUAACGCGUAUGCAACCUACCUUUAACAGGGGGAUAACACUGAGAAAUUGGUACUAAUACCCCAUAAUAUCAUAGAAGGCAUCUUUUAUGGUUGAAAAUUCCGAUGGUUAGAGAUGGGCAUGCGUUGUAUUAGCUAGUUGGUGGGGUAACGGCUCACCAAGGCGACGAUACAUAGGGGGACUGAGAGGUUAACCCCCCACACUGGUACUGAGACACGGACCAGACUCCUACGGGAGGCAGCAGUGAGGAAUAUUGGUCAAUGGACGCAAGUCUGAACCAGCCAUGCCGCGUGCAGGAUGACGGCUCUAUGAGUUGUAAACUGCUUUUGUACGAGGGUAAACGCAGAUACGUGUAUCUGUCUGAAAGUAUCGGACGAAUAAGGAUCGGCUAACUCCGUG
rnacentral:rRNA from 1 species